UACGGAGGGAGCUAGCGUUAUUCGGAAUUACUGGGCGUAAAGCGCACGUAGGCGGCUUUGUAAGUUAGAGGUGAAAGCCUGGAGCUCAACUCCAGAAUUGCCUUUAAGACUGCAUCGCUUGAAUCCAGGAGAGGUGAGUGGAAUUCCGAGUGUAGAGGUGAAAUUCGUAGAUAUUCGGAAGAACACCAGUGGCGAAGGCGGCUCACUGGACUGGUAUUGACGCUGAGGUGGCGAAAGCGUGGGGAGCAAACAGG
rnacentral:rRNA from 1 species